rnacentral:lncRNA from 1 species
AUGGUUAAAGCUUGUGCCUAGGUAAUUUUAAGGGAAUCAAUAGGGUUUUUGUAGUUGUUCAGUUCUGGAAAAAAGACCUUUAUAAUUCCAGUUUGAUUAUCAAUAAAAACACAGGUUACAGGAGGACUAGCUAAACAUAUAAAAUGUAUGCCAUCCAAAACUUGAAAAUGAACAUCAUCAUUACAUUUUAUCUCAAUUCAGUUCUAAUGAAAUUUAUUCAAUCUUUUACAGUGCUAACUACAUGAACAUCUUACAACAUUCUUGGUUAUAUUUACACGACAGAAGUCAUGAAUAUAUAUUAUAUAAAGAUCUUUACAUCAGAAGCCAAAUCAUAAAUGAUAUUCUGUUACUUGCACAAAAGAAUGUAGCUGUUAGAUAUGUGGAAAAAAGAUAAUCAAAUUGGUAUCAUUGAAAUGAGAUCCUGAAUGUGAUGUUGUAAGAUCUUCAUGUCGUUAGCAUUAAUGAAAAAGGCCUUCUAAUAUGUUAUUUCAAUAAUAUUAACCUUUUAUUCCCACCUUCUAUAAUUACACAUUUAUUUUACAGUAUGUGAACAUUUCAUGAUUUACUUCCUAACACAUUAUGCUACAGUUACAACACGUAUGUUUCCACCAUCAAUAGAUCAUUUCACAAAAUUUACAAAUUAACUCCUUGUGGUGUGACCUCCCAUCAAACAAGCAAAUACACAUGCAAAAU